ACGCUCGACACCUACGGGGGCAGCAGUGGGGGAUAUUGCGCAAUGGGGGAAACCCUGACGCAGCAACGCCGCGUGAAGGACGAAGGUUUUCGGAUUGUAAACUUCUUUUGUUAGGGACGAAGAAAUGACGGUACCUGACGAAUAAGCUCCGGCUAACUACGUGUCAGCAGCCGCGGUAAUCUGAGCGGGCUGGCAAGGC
rnacentral:rRNA from 1 species